rnacentral:lncRNA from 1 species
UCAAUGAGAACAAAUGGUCUCCAAGCAAACAACAACAAAGCAGCCCUAGACUAGUGUAUAGCAAAACCACACAAAGAGAUAACAAAGCAUAAACAAGAUAAGUGAUAAAAGGAAGAACAAAACACCGAGAAGAUUGUUGACCCAGUUCAGCCAAUAUGGCCUAAUCUGGGGGAGAGAGCAGCUCUCCAAUCCAAUAUGAGAAAGUGUUACAAAAGGUUACAAGAACUCUAGCCUUCAAGCUUUACACAUGAACAAACCCUAGAUUCUACCCUUUGGUGUUUCCCCACUCUCUUAAUAUGAACCCUAAAACCCAAGGUGAUUACAAUGUUUUUCCCAACCCAAGAGACACUCUCAACAAAGACACUCAACCCAUUGGUUCCCUCCUUUGCUAUCCAAGUUCUCUCUCUAAGCUCAUUCAAGCUCUCUUAAGUUCUCCCAGUAAAAAAGCACAAGAACACAAUAUAUACUAGCCUUCCUCCGAAGCAAUCGUGUCACGAUUUCCCAAAUCGUGUCACGAUUUGCGUCUGACCCAAGGUAGACCAGUCCUUAUCAGGGAUACUUAACGAGCAAGUUUCUGAAUCGUGUCACGAUUUCCCAAGAUCGUGCCACGAUUUGGCGUCCUGCAAACUAGCUCACGGCCCCCUUGAAAUCGUGUCACGAUUUCUCUGUUCUUCCAGACCACAAAUUUGAAGCCAAUAUCAACAUUUCUCCACCUUGACUUCUAAUUUGGUGGUGAUGUCAGUUUAACCAUCAACCACCAUGCUGCUCUCUCCAAAAGGGAAUUACUCUUCGACAAACUUGAUCAAGUCCAAGCAAUGCUUGAAUCUUGAUCUAGGCAAUGACUUGGUGAACACAUCCGCCGGAUUCUCCUCCGAUGCCACUUUCUCAACCACAAUCUCUUUUGAUUCAAUCAUGUCUCUAACAAAGUGCAGGCGAAUGUCGAUGUGCUUUGUCCUUUCAUGAUACACUUGAUGAUUUGCCAAGUGAAUGGCACUUUGACUAUCACAAUGUAUCUUCACACAUUCUUGAGUAAUUCCUAACUCACCAAUCAUCCCUUUCAACCAUAUGGCCUCCUUCACACCUUCAACAAGUGCGAUGUACUCCGCUUGAGUUGUAGAUAAUGCCACCACGGAUUGUUGAUUUGCCUUCCAACUAAUAGCCGUGCCAUAAAGAGUAAACACAAAACCCGAUAAGGAUUUUCUAGUGUCCACAUUGCCCGCAUAAUCCGCAUCAACAUACCCCUCCAAAGCGUCUUCAUCUUGAGCUGCCCUUGUGUACUUCAAACCGCCCUUCAACGACCCAUUCAAAUACCUCAAUACCCACUUCAAGGCUUGCCAAUGCACAAUUCCCGGGUUCGCCAUAAACCGACUCACAAUGCUAACCGCAUAAGCUAAGUCUGGCCUACUACAAACCAUUCCAUACAUGAUGCUUCCAACCCCACUUGCAUAGGGAGUACCUUCCAUCAAUUGCUUCUCAUCCUCGGAUUGAGGACAUUGUUGUAUGGACAACUUUGUGUGGUGCCCCAAGGGAGUGCUCACGGUUUUAGAGUUUGACAUUCUAAAACGCUCCACCACCUUCUUCAAAUAACUAAGUUGAGAUAAGAAAAGUUCGCCUUUGUCACGAUUCCUCACGUUAUCAAUCCCAAGAACACUCUUUGCCGGACCAAGAUCUUUCAUCUCAAAUUCACCAUUUAACCUCUCUUUGAGCUUCAUAAUCUCAUCCUUGCUAGAGCUCGCCAUCAAGAUAUCAUCCACAUAUAAAAGAAGAUAGAGAAUGACUUUCUCACUUUUCUUCAACAUGUACACACAAGAAUCAUAUCCGCUUCUCACAAAACCGGUCUUCAAAAGAAAUUCAUCAAAACGACGAUACCAUUGCGUAGGGCUUUGCUUCAACCCAUACAAAGAUUUCUUUAAAAGACACACCUUAGACUUGUCCUCCACAAAACCUUCCGGUUGCUCCAUGUAGAUUGUCUCUUCAAGGUCACCAUGUAAGAAAGCGGUCUUCACAUCCAUUUGUUCCAACUCAAGAUUGAAUUGAUUCACAAUAGUCAUAAAUAUCCUUAUGGAACAAUGCUUCACCACCGGUGAAAAGAUCUCGUUGUAGUCGAUCCCCUCCACUUGAGUGAAACCCUUUGCCACAAGUCUUGCUUUGUACCUUGGACCUUCAACACCCGGAAUGCCAUCCUUUUUCUUGAAGAUCCACUUGCAUCCAACUACCCUUUGGUGAUUAGGUAGCUUCACAAGUUUCCAAGUUUGGUUCCUUUCCAAUGAAUCCAUUUCUUCAUUCACCGCCUUCAACCAAUACUUGCUCUCUUUGCUCUCAAAUGCCUCCUUGAAGUUUCUAGGCUCAGAGUCUUGCACAUCUUCCGCCGCAUUUAGAGCAAAACACACCAAGUCCGCAUAACCGAAUCUCUUAGGAGCCGUAAUGGUCAUUCUUUCUCUAUCUCUAGCCAAUAGAUACUCAGGAUCCACUACCGGUUGAGUUCCACUAGUAUCCGAUGUCGAAGCUUCAUCUUCUACAUCUUCUUCUUCUUCAUUUGGAAGCUCCACCUCAAACUGAGUUUUCUCCACCAUAGUUUCCGGUACUUGAGUCUCUAGGUCUUUGCACUUCAUCCCCAUACGGGUCUCAUCAAAGGUAACAUCCCUACUUAUCAAGACUCUUGAUCCUCCACUAGAUUCCAAUUUCCACAACUUGUACCCCUUCACACCUUCCGGAUAACCAAUGAAGACACAUUUCAAAGCUCUAGGCUCAAGCUUGUCUUGCUUGAUAUGCGCAUAUGCCAAAGCUCCGAAAACCUUCAAAGAGGAGUAAUCUGCCGGUUUCCCACUCCAUACCUCCAUAGGUGUCUUGAAGUCUAUCCCCGUUGAUGGACAUCUAUUGAUCAAAUAAGCAGCCGUUGUCACGGCUUCACCCCAGAAACUCUUAGGUAACCCAGCUCCUAGAAUCAUACAUCUCACACGCUCCAAAAGAGUCCUAUUCAUGCGUUCCGCAAGACCAUUUUGUUGUGGUGUUCUCGGUACGGUUCUAUGCCUCUUGAUUCCUUUCAACCUGCAAAACUCAUUAAACUGCUCUGAAACAAACUCCAGGCCAUUGUCAGUUCUUAAACCUUUUAGUUUAGUUCCCAUUUGAUUUUCUAUGAGAGUGUGCCAUUCUUUAAACUUUUCAAAGGUGUCACUUUUGUUUUUCAAAACAAAGACCCACACUCUCCUAGAAUAAUCAUCAAUGAUAGAAAGAAAAUAGGAACCUCCCCCAUGAGUAGGAGUCUUAGAAGGACCCCAAAGAUCCGAAUGCACAUACUCAAAAGACCUACUAGAAUGAUGCAUGCCACUUCCAAACUUCACCCUAUGUUGUUUGCUUAGUAUGCAAUGCUCACAAAAUUCUAGCUUGUCCAAUUUAUCUUUCCCUAGCAAACCUUGUUUAGCUAGUUCAACUAAACCCCUCUCACGAACAUGCCCCAAUCUCAAAUGCCACAAUUCAGAAUUAUUAUGAGAUGCAACACUAGCUACCGAUGCAUUACCAAUUACUAUGGAACCAUCUAAAAUGUAUAAACCAUUCAUUCUAGACCCCUUAACCGUAAUCAGUGCACCAUGCGAAAUUUUACAAACCCCAUGCUCUAUUCUAGUGCAAUAACCUAGAUUAUCAAACAUGCUUAGGGAAAUUAAAUUACGCUUAAGUUCGGGAACAAACCUUACAUCCCUUAAAAGGAAUUCACGGCCAUCAAACAUAUUUAGACGAACGUUGCCCAUGCCUUGGACUUUGCAAGCUUUGUUAUUUCCGAGUCGAACAACUCCUCCUUCUUUUAGAAUCAAAGUCUCAAAAUAUUCCUUUCUAGGACACAUGUGAUAAGAGCAUCCCGAGUCCAAAACCCAGCUCUUCUCCGGUUCCCAACUUGUUACCACUAGUGCACCCGCACUCUCAUAACCUUCUUCAUUUGAAGCCUCCACAACUUGAACCGAAGGACUACCAUCGCCCCUCUUAUCCGGACAAUCUUUCUUGAAAUGACCUUGCUUGUGACAAAGAAAGCAUUUAUACUUUGAUUUGUCAAAGCCCUUGGACCUAGACUUGGACCUCGACUUCCCCUUGCCUUUUCCUCUAUGCUCAUUCCUCCCUCUUGUAACAUUCAAGCCUUCACUACCUUCAUCAAUCUUCAUGUCCUUGAACUUGGUCAAUUCCUUGGUUCUCAAAGCCGCUUGGACCUCCUCCAAAGUAGUAGUGCCCUCCUUACCAUAAAGGAUGGUAUUCUUGAAAUGCUCAAAGGACUUUGGUAAUGAACAAAGUAACAACAAAGCCUUAUCCUCAUCUUCCAUGUUAACUUCAAUGUUGGCCAAAUCAUCAAGAAUCUUGUUAAACUCCGUUGUGCUCGUGAUUUUCGGAUAUCAAAUCAUUAAUUGAUUUGAAUCGUUAAUCUUUGAACUCUCGAUUUUUAUUCGUGGGAAGGGAAAAAAUGAGUAAAAACCCUUAUCGAGACUUUGGAUUCGGGGGUUGGUUACGCGAAGGGAAGGUGCUAGCACCCUAAGCGUCUAUGGUAUUCCAUAGGAACCUCUUACCUAAAUUAUCUUGUGCUAAAUUCAUUUGCUUACUUGAAAAAUUAUUACCUAAAAGUCUAAGUGAAAGAAUGGGGGGAGAAGAAGUAUGUUUUUGUUUAUUUUUAUUUGAUUUGGAAGGAUAAAAAUCCUAUGCCUACAUACCCUUAAAGAAAAGGGAUCAAAACCAAUGUAGUUCACCUAAAAAGUUUCUUUUUGGUGGGUUAGGUUGAUUUUAAGAUUUUUUGAAAAUGGGUUUUUAGAAGGGAAAGAGGCCUCAAGGCAUGAGAUAAAAUAAGGUGAGGUUGGUCGAAUUUUAAUUACAAAGAAAUCAAGUCUAUUAUGAAUAUUAAUUCAAUUAAGCAUUUGAUUAAGAAAAUAAAAAGGAAAACACUUGGGUUACAAACCAAGGUUUAUUAAGAAAAUAUUUUUGGAGUUUUGCAUGUUUUUGUUGUUUUUGAAUAAUAAAUGAAAAUUAAACUGACGGAGCAAUAAAAAUAAAAGCGCGUGGAUUUUUGUAGUGAUGUUGGAUCACCACAAAAUCCCUAAUCUAAUUUUUUUGCAUUUUUUGGAUAUAUCUAAGGCGGUAAGGAAAUAAAAGGACACACACACCCACACACUUUUCUCAUUUAUAUUUACAUUGGACCUAAAUACAUUCUAAUUGCUGGAAAAUAAAUAACAAUAAUUAAAAUGCUAAAUAGAAAUAAAAUAAAAUGUAAAAAUGCUAAAAAGAAAUAAAAAUGCAAGAAAAUAAAAGAAAUGGACUACCGAAGGGACAAAAUUCCGAAGGGACUUUUCCGAAGGGACUUAUUCCGAAGGGACAGAAAAAAAAGGGAGAAGAAAAGAAUAGCUCGUUAACACAAGCUAAAUAGGGAGAAGAGAGAAAAGUUCUUUGACAACUCAAGAGAACUUUUUGGUGUGUGAAAUUGUGUGGAAUGAGGGCUCUAUUUAUAGGUGAGGAGGUUGAUGAAAAAAGGAAAAAUGGUUUAAUGGAAAUGAUGGACAAUUAUGGUGAAUUUUGAAAAAGGAAUGUUAAAGUUGACACUUGACUUGAAAUUUUUUUUUAGACCUUGUACAUUUUAUUUUGGACCUAUUGACACUUUGUUUUUUUUUUUGACACUAAUUAAUUAAAAAGAAAUAAAAUAAAUCUAAUACGAAAUAAAAUAAAACAAAUUAAACUAAAUCAUGUAAAGAAAAAUAAAAUUAAAAGAUGGAAAAUAAAAAUUAUUAAAUAUAAAAAAAGUAACUAAUCUUAAAAUUAAAAUUAAUAAAAGAAAAUAAAAAGAGAAAAGAGGGUCCGACUCGGAAUAAAAAAUGAGGUACUUCAAAGUAACCUCUUUGCCAAAAUUUCGUCUGAAACGGCGAAAAUUCCCGACUUUAAAAAUACGAAUAAAAUGGGUAAGAAUAGAGGAAAGUGGUCAAAAUUUGGGGUAUGACAUCCGUCAAUUGCUCCGAGAUUGAUUUAGACUCCACCAUCUUGAAUGAAUAGAGUUGUUGCUUCAAGAGUUGCCCAUGAGCUAAAGAUUUCGUCAUAUACAAUGACUCCAACUUCGCCCACAUCGAUGCCGCGGUAGCUUCUCUCGCGACAUCCCUUAAGACCUUAUCUCCGAGACAUAAGACAAUGGCACUCUUUGCCUUGUCUACCUACCAUCUCACGCUUCUCCUCUUGUGUCAAGGUUGCCGACAUCGCCGCUUCACCCUUUAAUGCUUCUACACACUUUUGUUGUGUCAAAACCGCUUGCAUCUUAACCUUCCACAACCCGAAAUCAUUACUUCCGGUGAACUUCUCGAUGUCCCACUUUGACCCCAUGAUACUAUCAAUAACGCCUAUGCCCCACGGUGGGCGCCAAUUGUUGUGAAUCCGGUUCCAAAGUCACACCAAUGAAAUAAACAAUGAUGUGUGGAGCAAGAGAUAGUGGUAAUCAAUGAGAACAAUUGGUCUCCAAGCAAACAACAACAAAGCAGCCCUAGACUAGUGUAUAGCAAAACCACACAAAGAGAUAACAAAGCAUAAACAAGAUAAGUGAUAAAAGGAAGAACAAAACACCGAGAAGAUUGUUGGUCCAGUUCAGCCAAUAUGGCCUAAUCUGGGGGAGAGAGCAGCUCUCCAAUCCAAUAUGAGAAAGUGUUACAAAAGGUUACAAGAACUCUAGCCUUCAAGCUUUACACAUGAACAAACCCUAGAUUCUACCCUUUGGU